GUGCCAGCCGCCGCGGUAAUACAGAGGGUGCAAGCGUUGUCCGGAAUCACUGGGCGUAAAGGGCGCGUAGGCGGCCUGGUAAGUAGGGGGUGAAAUUCUGCGGCUCAACCGCAGGACGGCCUCCUAAACUGCCGGGCUUGAGCACGGUAGAGGCUGGUGGAAUUCCCGGUGUAGCGGUGGAAUGCGUAGAGAUCGGGAAGAACAUCGGUGGCGAAGGCGGCCAGCUGGGCCGUUGCUGACGCUGAGGCGCGACAGCGUGGGGAGCAAACAGGAUUAGAUACCCUUGUAGUCC
rnacentral:rRNA from 1 species